rnacentral:lncRNA from 1 species
AACAGAACAGCCUUGCUUCAUAUCCUGGGGUCCUCUUGAAGCUGGAGUUGCCUUUGAAGUGGAUGAAGAGAAGAUUGGUGAGCUGUGGGCUGAGCCCAGAUCUCCUAGCUGCCAAUGAGUUUUUCAGUGGGAGAGGCCAGGGUGCCCUGGGUCAUCCCACUUUCCAUCUGACUGAGGCUGUGG